UUCUAAUUGGCAAAUAGUCACUGAGGAGGUGCACUCACCUUAGCCUUGCCUUCAUUACUUCAUUACAGGAAAGGGAAUUGAGAUCUGGAAGACUUGAACACAUUUAGCCAUGUGGCUGUAUCAGAAUGGUUGCCUAGCAUGAUGGCUAGAGCUUGAUGACUUCCCUUCCCUUUAUUUAAGGAUAAAAAGGAACAUGUCUCUACUCUGCCUAUAAAAAAAGCUGAUCCAAUGAGAUUCCGAGGUUUCUCCCAGUUAAAUGGUUAAAUCCUGCAACAAGCUGGAAUCCUCCUUCCCUGUUCUCCAGGAUUAAGUGGUUAGAAUCAUGAAGUGCUAAAUCAAUUAACUGAAGACAAGAGGAUGAUCAAAUGAGGACAUUUUUGAAACUUGGAGAAAGGAGGAGUAGUGGGUUGUUGGUCUAUUUCAGAAGGAAAAGUAAUAGGAAGCAACUGGAGUUGGGAGUGGUAUGUCAAUUUUUUCUUUUGGAAGAUCAAUUUGACAUGAGUAGAGGAUGGAUUAGAGCAAGGAGAGUCUUCAGUCAGCAAUGAUGUGGUUCCCAAUUCUCCACCCCUUCCCCACAAGAGAACUGAAUCAAGUUUAAGAUUUCACAAUUUGAGAUGAGAAGAACUUGGAUUCAGCUUAGAAGUAAAAGAAAAAUGAUGAUGGAAGACAACAAUAAAAGACUGUAUAAAGAGUCA
rnacentral:lncRNA from 1 species